rnacentral:lncRNA from 1 species
UAUCCCUGUUACAUACUAAUGUAAUUUUGAUGCUACCAUGGAUCUGGCUCUCCUUCCAUGUUUCUAAUGUAAGACAACAAAACACAUUCAAACUGAAUUUGUUUUCAUAUAUUUAUUUAACAAAUAGUAUUGAUCUUUUAUCAUGAUUAUUUAUACAUUGUUUUUAUGUAUUUACAUAUCAUCACUAGUUAAUGUAAAUAGAAAAAAGGGGAAUUCCAUUACAGGGGAAGAGAAAAAGAGAAAUAUUACAUUGAAUGAAUAGGAGAAAAUGAAAGAGAAAUAUUACAUUGAAUGAGAGAAUGAAAGGGGAUUCAACGGGUACUGACUAUGGGGAGGGGGUACUUAACAUACAAUAGUACAUCACAUGAAUGGGCAUAGGUAGUCAAUAUAGAAAGCAGUGUAUAUACAUGCUGUUUCAAAGAAAAUGAAUGGUGCUUAAUAAUUCAGAACAAAAGAAAAAUCAAUAAAAGUUACUGAAUACAAUGACAUUCAGUUGAUCCUUACAUCCAUACUUUCAAAUUAUGUCUCUGAACACGUAGGUUCAAUUUCAGCAAAGCAGAUCAAAUGUACAUCUAGAAAAAUAAAACAAAAGCUUAAAAUCAAUGUGGCAUAGGUAAAAUCAACCUAUGAAAAUGUGUCAAUCCUGCUUGACAACUGAGUGACAAUGAUUAAUGAAUACAAAUUCUUGGUAAUGUGCCCUUUACAUUUUUCAAAGAGAGAAAAUGAGGAAUACUUUCCUGUCCAUAACGGGAAAGGUUCAUCUAAAUACUACUUCCUUAAUUAGAAACAAACUUUCUAGUACUUUGGAUUCUAUCAUACUUCUUCCAUCAAAAUUUCCCUAUAUAAACCACAAAUAACACUCAAUACAUAGUUGUCAUGACAACUCACCAGAAGAGAGAAGUUCAAACACAUUUAGAAUGUGAUUUUGUAUAAGCUGAAGGGAAAACAGUAUUACACAGAAGAAAAAGCAAUAUGUAAACAUGCUCACCAAGUUAAAACAGUUGAAGACGUUAUAUACAUACUGUACAUGUAUAUUAAAUAUUUCCCUUUACAGUUAUGUAGUUAUAUCAACUUCAAUAACUGUUUUGUUUACCAAGAGUGUUGUAUAUCGAAUCUGUUCUUUUAACUCUUUUAGUGAUAAAGUGUAAUUUUAUGGGUAAUGAUAUCUUUCAAACAACCUUGGCAAAAUCAUGUAUCGGGCCUAUGCAAAGUAUUAUUCAUUUAUUCUAACUCUGUGGAUUCGCAAAAUGGUGGGCUAUCUAUUAGUUGCAGCAGACAGACCAAGUUUUUAAAUUCAGGGUUGACAUGGUGCAGGCAGCACAGUGCUUGUGUACUGUAAUGUGCCUGAUGCUUAAAAAAUGACAACCAUAUGGCAAGAAUUCACAAAACACGGUCUUAAUUUUGCAAAGAAAUAUUUUGCCGAAUAUCUAUCCCACGUCAGUAGACAGUAUAUCCGGUCGGGCCGUGUCAGCCAGUGCUGACAAAUUGCAUGAAAGCAUGCAUUUUAGUAAUAGCGUGCUCAACAGAUGUCAACUUUUUCCCAUGUCCGCUGCAACCGAUAAAUGGCGCACCGUAUUGUAAAUCCACCAAAUUGCAAGAAAAUUGCUUUUUUUUUGUGAACCAAAGAAGCCCAUCAUGGACUUAUCAAUAUUACUCAAAAUAAAACACUAUUCAAGGGUCAAGUAGAGAUAAAUAUAUAUAGAGAGAGUAAAAAUAAAACCAUGUCUUUACACUAACCAAUGAACAUUAUUUCUUUCUCAAGAUUUUAAGGUUAAACCAGGGAAAUGAGAAGCCAUUUUGAAAUGUGUCAGCAUUGAUGCUUGUGAAAGCUCUCAUGCUAUAGAUAUCAAACCAAAUAAUAUAACGUAUGGCAACUCUUGUGCCAAUGUGGGUAAUGAAUCAAUAAUGUAUCAAGACAUUUUAUGAGAUCAGCAUGAACAAUAUACAUGUAUAACAUACAUUCUCAACAUUUGUUUACUUCACAGAAUGACAUUAUGUACAUAAUGCAUUUGAUUGAAACUUUUCACAAGAUAAAAUCACUUUCUUAUGCAUACAUAUUCAAAUUGAAUACAUGUUGUGAUAGAAAACACAAUUUCUUCAUAGUACUUUUUGGUGAAAAAUUAAGGAAAAUAAUCAAAGGUACACUUAAAUGCUUGAAAGGUUUUGUAUUAUUUGAAAAAGCUACAAGAAUAGAAACCAAGUUUCAACUGAUAUGGCUAUUUUUCAAACAGUGAUGACAAUGAUCAAGUAGUCUGAAUACAAUAAACAUGGGCAUGCUGGGACCAAUGAAUACUUUCAAUCUGCAAGAAAUGCUAACCAAUUAUUAACAGGUACAUGACACAACAUUGAUCACUAUUUCUUCUGAAUGAAAGUAUGUAAAGAGAUCACACUGCACACAUCAACUAAAAACAAAUAAAUCCUUGCACAUUAAAUUAAAGGGAAAUUAUAUAUGCCAGCAUUAAAACAUACAUGCUCAUGUUUCAUAGCAAAUGUAAAGUAAAAGAAUAUAUAUAUAUGUAUAAGUGGGUCAUAAAAUAAAUCUAAUAUAUACUUUCUAUGUAUAUUUUUCAUACAUAACACUGUACAGUAUAUGUAAACCACAUCUUAUCUGUUAAAGAGGAACUUCUACACACCAACAGUAGAGGGUCAAUAUGUAAAUAUGUGUCAGUAUUGGCUGUUUACAAAUAUUUCUUGCAAGACACCAACUCUUUGAUAUUCUAUGAGCCUCUACUUAUUUAAAAAUUUCAAAUAGUCAUCCCAAACUCAAAGAUCUCAGGACAAAGUUAACUGCUAAAUGUGAAAGAUCACAAUACAAUCCUACUUUCAUGACCAAUCCUAUGAAAAACACCAUAAUACCAGAUUUUCCCUCAGUUCCAUAACUUAAAUCUCCCUUUAAACUAAUUCACAAAUCAAUAACAUAAAUCAUAAGGUAAUAAAACAUAUACAAUUUUAAAGAUGAAGCAGCGUACAAAAUAAAAAUGGUUAAAACAUUCUGAUCUUUGUAGACAUGUAUUGUAGCAAUAUCCACACAUUAAAAACAAGAAUGAAUACAUCAUUUUUUCUAUAAAUUACAUAAGCAUCUAUGCACUUUUCCUUUUACAAUGAAUUCAAGUGAACUCCUCAAUUCACAAACAUAUGACCCCCAUUAUUUUCAAUACAUCUUUAUUACUAUGUGACAUCUGGGGAGUGUUUCAUGAAGGACUGUCAGACCUUUUAUCUGACAUUUACCAUAGUAAAACCUCGGUCACAUUUGCUCUACGGUAUAACAGUGCCUCUUGACCAAUCAGAAUCAAAGAAAGAUGUCGGAUCCGACAACUUGUCAGA